rnacentral:rRNA from 1 species
UACGUAGGGGGCUAGCGUUGUCCGGAAUCAUUGGGCGUAAAGAGCGUGUAGGCGGUCCGGUAAGUCCGCUGUGAAAGUCGGGGGCUCAACCCUCGAAUGCCGGUGGAUACUGUCGGGCUAGAGUGCGGAAGAGGCGAGUGGAAUUCCUGGUGUAGCGGUGAAAUGCGCAGAUAUCAGGAAGAACACCCGUGGCGAAAGCGGCUCUCUGGGACAGUACUGACGCUGAGACGCGAAAGCGUGGGGAGCGAACAGG